rnacentral:rRNA from 1 species
GAUGAACGCUGGCGGGGGGAGGAAUAAAGGCAAGUCGAGCGAAAAGACGAGGAGAUUGCUCCUCUGACGUUAGCGGCGGACGGGUGAGUAACACGUGGAUAACCUACUUAUAAGACUGGGAUAAUUUCGGGAAAACGGAGCUAAUACCGGAUAAUAUAUUGAACCGCAUGGUUCAAUAGUGAAAGACGGUUUUGCUGUCACUUAUAGAUGGUUCCGCGCCGCAUUAGCUAGUUGGUAAGGUAACGGCUUACCAAGGCGACGAUGCGUAGCCGACCUGAGAGGGUGAUCAGCCACACUGGAACUGAGACACGGUCCAGACUCCUACGGGAGGCAGCAGUAGGGAAUCUUACGCAAUGGGCGAAAGCCUGACGGAGCCACGCCGCGUGAGUGAUGAAGGUCUUCGGAUCGUAACACUCUGUUAUUAGGGAAGAACAAAUGUGUAAGUAACUAUGCACGUCUUGACGGUACCUAAUCAAAAAGCCACGGCUAACUACGUG